ACGAACGCUGGCGGCGUGCUUCACACCUGCAAGUCGAACGGAAAGGCCCUGCUUUUGUGGGGUGCUCGAGUGGCGAACGGGUGAGUAACACGUGAGUAACCUGCCCUUGACUUUGGGAUAACUUCAGGAAACUGGGGCUAAUACCGGAUAGGAGCUCCUGCUACAUGGUGGGGGUUGGAAAGUUUCGGCGGUUGGGGAUGGACUCGCGGCUUAUCAGCUUGUUGGUGGGGUAGUGGCUUACCAAGGCUUUGACGGGUAGCCGGCCUGAGAGGGUGACCGGCCACAUUGGGACUGAGAUACGGCCCAGACUCCUACGGGAGGCAGCAGUGGGGAAUAUUGCACAAUGGGCGGAAGCCUGAUGCAGCAACGCCGCGUGCGGGAUGACGGCCUUCGGGUUGUAAACCGCUUUCGCCUGUGACGAAGCGUGAGUGACGGUAAUGGGUAAAGAAGCACCGGCUAACUACGUG
rnacentral:rRNA from 1 species